rnacentral:rRNA from 1 species
GACGAACGCUGGCGGCGUGCUUAACACAUGCAAGUCGAACGGUGAAGGGGCCUGCUUUUGUGGGCCCUGGAUGAGUGGCGAACGGGUGAGUAACACGUGAGUAACCUGCCCCCUUCUUCUGGAUAACCGCAUGAAAGUGUGGCUAAUACGGGAUAUUCUGGGUCUGUCGCAUGAUGGGUCUGGGAAAGAUUGCGCCUUUGGGUGUUUUUGGUGGGGGAUGGGCUCGCGGCCUAUCAGCUUGUUGGUGGGGUGAUGGCCUACCAAGGCGGUGACGGGUAGCCGGCCUGAGAGGGUGGACGGUCACACUGGGACGGAGACACGGCCCAGACUCCUACGGGAGGCAGCAGUGGGGAAUAUUGCACGAUGGGCACAAGCCUGAUGCAGCGACGCCGCGUGAGGGAUGGAGGCCUUCGGGUUGUAAACCUCUUUCGCCAGUGAAGCAGGCCUGCUCCUUGUGGGUGGGUUGACGGUAGCUGGAUAAGAAGCGCCGGCUAACUACGUG